ACGAAUCUGAGUUACUUUGCAAGGUCAUGAGGCUGUCAAGAGCUGAGCCGAGCUAGGACACCAGGUAAGGCCCUCCUUCCUGUCACUUACUGGCUUUGCCUCUCCAUCACCCAAAUCAGUGACCACUCCCUGACCAUCUGUUCUCUGGAGGGCCAAAGCCAGUAAGUUAGUGGACAGAGCUCAUGGCGUCUGGGAGCUUUCAGGCUGGAUGGGGCAAUGUGCCAGUUGUGUACACCUGGCUACAAUGUGACGCCGUGCUGGGUGCGCACCGUGUGACGGCACAGGCCACAGUGCUGAGCCCUUCAGGAUGCAAGAGACAAUAAGGACCAAAAUAUGUAGGUGUGGUAACUGCCAGAACCCCCGCCCUCCCAUGCUAACCCUGAGGUACACACAUACACGUACACAUAUGUAUGCACACACAGCAGCCUGCGGGCCUGGGCACGAAGUCCUGCCGGCCGGGGCGGGGUGCAGAGAGAGCGCACCUGUCAGGCCGCGGAGCUGCCAGCGCUCCCCCUCCCCCAGCCCCGCAGGCGCCCGCGCCCCCUCCCCGCACAUCUAUUUAUAUCGCUCUACCAGCCCGGUCCUUAUUGGGCAGCGCCUGCCGUUUCGGUGCCAUCGCGGAGGCCCCAGCAGAGGACUGUGUCCGCGCCCGAAGAGCCGGCAGCCUUAACAUCAAGAUCAACACCUCAGGAACUGAUUAGUCUGAACUACCUGCACUGUGUUAGGUCAUAUGGUCCUCUCUGGAAGAUGAUCUUGGCCCUCUAGCAUUGUAGGUAUUGGUACCUUGGGAGGGUUUCUGUGUAUCAGUACAAGUGGAUAGAAAAUCUUAAAAUAAUUAUUUCCUUACAAGAACGAUUUAUCCUUUUUAGCUUAAAAUAACAGCCCCCAUCUAUAAAGUUGAUUAAUGUGUUUAUGUAUAAAGAAGGCUGCAUAAUAUGAUUUGGACUAAUCAUAAUGUGUUGUAGAAAAGCUCAGAAAUGUAAUGAUCUUUUAAUUACCCAUAGCUGGAUUCUCAAUAAAUCUAAACCAAAUAAAGCA
rnacentral:lncRNA from 1 species